rnacentral:misc_RNA from 1 species
UUUCCGUAGGUGAACCUGCGGAAGGAUCAUUACCGUAUUCAAAAAUACAAAAAAGGUUGGAUUACGAGACUUCAAUGUUGGACGUCCUUUUCAGGAUGACUGACGAAUGUCGUCUCAAUCCAUACCGGCUAAAUCUCACCGUCCAACUCUCAGGUUGUGAUCGUGUUUUGAACAUGAUUAAUAUAUUGAGAGUGGUGAGGCAGUAUGGCCAAUGUUGUUGUACUGUGGUGAUGGAAUUUUGUGUGGUUUGGCAUCGAGUACGAAUGCGGUGCAGUAUUGCUGAGUUUAGGGUAAGCUUGAGUUAAUAAAACGGCUCGACUGCUUUCCAAGAUAUGACCUAUGUAUCGCCUAGGCUCACAACUGCAUUUGGUGUGCUCAAUGUUCUGGCCAAGAAAACAAGCAAACUUGAAAAAGUGAAACUUGGAUUAUGGUCGUUAAAAUUGAAAAAAAAAUAUCAACCUCGAGUGGUGGAUCACUCGGCUCGU